rnacentral:tRNA from 1 species
GAAUACCGGCCUGUCACGCCGGGGGUCGCGGGUUCGAGCCCCGUCCGCUCCG